rnacentral:rRNA from 1 species
UACGAAGGGGGCUAGCGUUGCUCGGAAUCACUGGGCGUAAAGGGUGCGUAGGCGGCUCGGUAAGUCGGGUGUGAAAUCUCGGAGCUUAACUCCGAAACUGCAUUCGAUACUGCCGUGCUUGAGGACUGGAGAGGAGACUGGAAUUUACGGUGUAGCGGUGAAAUGCGUAGAUAUCGUAAGGAAGACCAGUGGCGAAGGCGGGUCUCUGGACAGUUCCUGACGCUGAGGCACGAAGGUCAGGGGAGCAAACGGG